rnacentral:rRNA from 1 species
UUGGAGGGCAAGUCUGGUGCCAGCAGCCGCGGUAAUUCCAGCUCCAAUAGCGUAUAUUAAAGUUGUUGCAGUUAAAAAGCUCGUAGUUGAAUUUCGGAAUCAAUAUGUUGGUCGUGCCAUUGGUACGUACUGGCAUUAUUGGUUUCUACCUUCUGAAGAACCUCGAUGUCAUUAAUUUGGUGUCUUGGGGAAUCAGGACUGUUACUUUGAAAAAAUUAGAGUGUUUAAAGCAGGCUCGCGCUUGAAUACAUUAGCAUGGAAUAAUGAAAUAGGACGUUUGAUUCUAUUUUGUUGGUUUCUAGGAUCGACGUAAUGAUUAAUAGGGAUAGUUGGGGGCAUUAGUAUUCAAUUGUCGGAGGUGAAAUUCUUGGAUUUAUUGAAGACUAACUACUGCGAAAGCAUUUGCCAAGGAUGUUUUCAUUAAUCAAGAACGAAAGUUAGGGGAUCGAAGACGAUCAGAUACCGUCGUAGUCUUAACCAUAAACUAUGCCGACUAGGGAUCGGAUGAUGUUAAUUUUUUAAUGACUCAUUCGGCACCUUACGGGAAAC